UGGUGCGCCCAGAAGCCGUGCA
rnacentral:misc_RNA from 1 species